rnacentral:rRNA from 1 species
UGGGGAAUAUUGGACAAUGGGCGAAAGCCUGAUCCAGCCAUGCCGCAUGAGUGAAGAAGGCCUUUGGGUUGUAAAGCUCUUUUAGUGAGGAAGAUAAUGACGGUACUCACAGAAGAAGUCCUGGCUAACUCCGUGCCAGCAGCCGCGGUAAUACGGAGAGAGCUAGCGUUAUUCGGAAUUAUUGGGCGUAAAGGGCGCGUAGGCUGGUUAAUAAGUUAAAAGUGAAAUCCCGAGGCUUAACCUUGGAAUUGCUUUUAAAACUAUUAAUCUAGAGAUUGAAAGAGGAUAGAGGAAUUCCUGAUGUAGAGGUAAAAUUCGUAAAUAUUAGGAGGAACACCGGUGGCGAAGGCGUCUAUCUGGUUCAAAUCUGACGCUGAAGCGCGAAGGCGUGGGGAGCAAACA